UGAGAUGACCACCAAGA
rnacentral:piRNA from 1 species